rnacentral:rRNA from 1 species
GGGAGACAGGUGGUGCAUGGUUGUCGUCAGCUCGUGUCGUGAGAUGUUGGGUUAAGUCCCGCAACGAGCGCAACCCUUACCCACAGUAGCCAGCACAAAAGGUGGGCACUCUGUGGGGACUGCCGGGGGCAACCCGGAGGAAGGUGGGGAUGACGUCAAAUCAUCAUGCCCCUUAUGGCCGGGGCUACACACGUGCUACAAUGGCGUAAACAAAGGGAAGCGAGAGAGUGAUCUUAAGCGAAACUCAAAAAUAACGUCCCAGUUCGGAUUGCAGUCUGCAACUCGACUGCAUGAAGCUGGAAUCGCUAGUAAUCGCGGAUCAGAAUGCCGCGGUGAAUACGUUCCCGGGUCUUGUACACACCGCCCGUCACACCAUGGGAGCCGGGAAUGCCCGAAGUCGGUGACCUAACCUGAAAAGGGAGGAGCCGCCGAAGGCAGGUCUGGUGACUGGGGUGAAGUCGUAACAAGGUAGCCGUAUCGGAAGGUGCGGCUGGAUCACCUC